rnacentral:rRNA from 1 species
CCAAAAUUCAUGCUAAGUGGAAAAGGAUGUGGAGUUGCGCAGACAACUAGGACGUUGGCUCAGAAGCAGCCAUCAUUCAAAGAGUGCGUAAUAGCUCACUAGUCGAGUGACGCCGCGCCGAAAAUUUACCGGGGCUAAGCAUGAUACCGAAACUGUGGAUGUGCAUUUAUGCACGUGGUAGGAGAGCGUUCUAGCGGCGGUGAAGCAUGACCGAGAGGACAUGUGGAGCUUCUAGAAGUGAGAAUGCCGGUAUGAGUAACGAAAGACAGGUGAGAAUCCUGUCCGCCGCAAGACUAAGGUUUCCUGGGGCAGGCUCGUCCGCCCAGGGUAAGUCGGGACCUAAGGCGAGGCCGAGAGGCGUAGUCGAUGGACAACAGGUUGAAAUUCCUGUACUGCACCGA